GAUAAACUCAGAGGGGAGAAUAGGAUUUAUAUUUACCAUUUACUGGGUAGAAUACCGCAAAAGAGAAAAUAUGUCACCAGUUAAGAAGAAUAUAUCAAGGAUGAACUCUUCUUGGUAAAGUAGGAAUUACAACUACCUUUUUACUGGGUAGAGUACCAAAGAGGAAGCAUAUCCAUCAUCAGUUAAGAUGAACAUAUCAAGGAUAGACUCGCUGGGGAAACGAGAAAACGAAUCCGUUGGAGAAAAACAA
rnacentral:lncRNA from 1 species